GACGAACGCUGGCGGCGUGCUUAACACAUGCAAGUCGAACGGAAAGGCCCUGCUUUUGUGGGGUGCUCGAGUGGCGAACGGGUGAGUAACACGUGAGUAACCUGCCCUUGACUUUGGGAUAACUUCAGGAAACUGGGGCUAAUAUCGGAUAGGAGCUCCUGCUGCAUGGUGGGGGUUGGAAAGUUUCGGCGGUUGGGGAUGGACUCGCGGCUUAUCAGCUUGUUGGUGGGGUAGUGGCUUACCAAGGCUUUGACGGGUAGCCGGCCUGAGAGGGUGACCGGCCACAUUGGGACUGGGAUACGGCCCAGACUCCUACGGGAGGCAGCAGUGGGGAAUAUUGCACAAUGGGCGGAAGCCUGAUGCAGCAACGCCGCGUUCGUGAUGACGUCCUUCGGGUUGUAAACCGCUUUCGCCUGUGACGAAGCGUGCGUGACGGUGAUGGGUAAAGAAGCACCGGCUAACUACGUG
rnacentral:rRNA from 1 species